AGAGGUGUGAUAACAUCCACUUCCAUCCUCGUUCUUUUGGCACAUUCAGGCACAAUCUUUUUACAAGAAAGACUCCAUAAAAAUACCAAACGUUGGAUUCUCAUCUCCGUGUUUUUAUUGGAGGAUUGUUUAGCUCGCUGUCUACGCCGUGCUCUCAUCUCAAACGCAUGGCAAGGGCAGAAGAG